AGUGCAAAUGAUGAUAUAAAUGGGACGUAAUACUGAUACUAUUUGUUGAUUCAUUAAUCUGAUGCAC